UGGAACUUGUCAGAAAUGGAAGUUCCCAGGCCCCAUGCCAGACCUACUGAAUUGGAAACACUAGGGGUGUUUCUGACCAAGCCUUCCAGAACUCUAGGCUCUGCAGCGUUAGAAUUCUUGGUCCCCAAGGGGGACACACUCACCUGGAAAGCCAGCAAGGGGCACAUUGAAUACACCUUAUGACUGCUCCCUGGGCACUUUGGGAUCCUUGUGUCCAGGAACCAGCAGGGGGCUUCCCCCUUCGCUGGGCACUCAUUCUCCUUCCUGCCACCCUGUGAAGAAGGAUGUGCUUGCUUCCCCUCCCAG